GAGCGAUGAAGUUUCCUUCGGGAAACGGAUUAGCGGCGGACGGGUGAGUAACACGUGAGCAACCUGCCUUGUAGAGGGGGAUAGCCUUCCGAAAGGAAGAUUAAUACCGCAUAAUAUGUUUUGAUCGCAUGAUCUUAACAUCAAAGUUUUUCGCUACAAGAUGGGCUCGCGGAGCAUUAGCUAGUUGGUGGUGUAAUGGACCACCAAGGCGACGAUGCUUAGCCGACCUGAGAGGGUGAUCGGCCACAUUGGGACUGAGACACGGCCCAGACUCCUACGGGAGGCAGCAGUGGGGAAUAUUGCGCAAUGGACGAAAGUCUGACGCAGCAACGCCGCGUGAGUGAUGAAGGCCUUCGGGUUGUAAAACUCUGUCUUCAGGGACGAUAAUGACGGUACCUGAGGAGGAAGCCACGGCUAACUACGUGCCAGCAGCCGCGGUAAUACGUAGGUGGCAAGCGUUGUCCGGAUUUACUGGGCGUAAAGGGUGUCUAGGCGGAAAGAUAAGUCAGAUGUGAAAUCUCGGGGCUCAACCCCGAAACUGCAUUUGAAACUGUCUAUCUAGAGUGCAGGAGAGGAGAGUGGAAUUCCUAGUGUAACGGUGAAAUGUGUAGAUAUUAGGAAGAACACCAGUGGCGAAGGCGACUCUC
rnacentral:rRNA from 1 species